ensembl:misc_RNA 7SK 7SK RNA
GGAUGUGAGGGCAAUCUGGCUGCUACAUCUGUCACCCCAGUGAUCUCCAGAGUUGAUUUGGCUGAUCUGGCUGGUGAGGCGAGUGUCCCCUUCCUCCCUCACCACUCCAUGUGCAUCCCUCCCAAAGCUGAGUGCUCUGUCAAAGAGGACGACUGUCCCUCCUAGAGGUGGACUGGUCUUUGCUCAGAGGUAUACGAGUAGCUGUGCUCCCCUGCUAGAACCUCCAAACAAACUCUCAAGAAAAGUUUAUGCUUCUCAAAUACCUUUAUUCACUUAAGCUCUGAUAGAGUCAUGCUUUUUCU